UACGGGGGGGGCAAGCGUUGUUCGGAAUUACUGGGCGUAAAGGGCUCGUAGGCGGCCAACUAAGUCAGACGUGAAAUCCCUCGGCUUAACCGGGGAACUGCGUCUGAUACUGGAUGGCUUGAGUUUGGGAGAGGGAUGGCGGAAUUCCAGGUGUAGCGGAUGAAAUGCGUAGAUAUCUGGAGGAACACCGGUGGCGAAGGCGGCAUCCUGGACCAACACUGACGCUGAGUGAGCGAAAGCCAG
rnacentral:rRNA from 1 species